AAAAUUAAAAAGUCACAUCGUUCAAUUAGCAAAGCAAACGCACCACACCACUAAGCUCUGUCACCAUCUUCAACCACCCUCUGUUUCCCCAAAUUCCCAACAAGGGGCCUAAUAACACCAACCCAAAGCUCAUUUCUCAAUUGCCAUUACACGAACAAAAAUUGAAAUAGCAAUGGCGAUGGCUCUUCGUAAGAUUUCUUACGGUUCCUCCAUCAACCUUCUUCGUCCUCUCUCCAAUGGCUCUUCCGUGCAAUACAAGUCGUCUUUGCCUAAUCAAGCAGUUCGAGAUAGGGAGGAUCCGCGAGUUACGUGGAUUAAGCAGUUGAAUGCGCCACUUGAAGAAAUUGAUCCAGAGAUUGCCGACAUUAUUGAGCAUGAGAAAGCUAGGCAAUGGAAGGGUCUUGAGCUUAUCCCUUCAGAGAAUUUUACAUCACUGUCAGUGAUGCAAGCAGUUGGAUCAGUAAUGACCAACAAAUACAGUGAAGGGUAUCCUGGUGCUAGAUACUAUGGAGGAAAUGAGUAUAUUGACAUGGCAGAGAGAUUGUGUCAAAAACGUGCACUGGAAGUUUUUAAUUUGGAUCCUGCCAAAUGGGGAGUCAAUGUUCAGUCAUUGUCUGGAUCUCCUUCAAAUUUUCAAGUGUACACUGCUUUAUUAAAGCCUCAUGAGAGAAUUAUGGCGCUAGAUCUUCCUCAUGGUGGACAUCUUUCACAUGGUUAUCAGACUGACACAAAGAAGAUUUCUGCUGUGUCUAUCUUUUUCGAGACCAUGCCUUACAGAUUAGAUGAGAGCACAGGUUAUAUUGACUAUGAACAGCUGGAGAAAAGUGCAACGCUCUUCCGACCGAAGUUGAUUGUUGCUGGUGCAAGUGCUUAUGCUCGCCUAUAUGAUUAUGCACGUAUCCGUAAGGUAUGUGACAAGCAAAAAGCUGUUCUCUUGGCAGACAUGGCACAUAUCAGUGGCUUGGUUGCUGCUGGAGUCAUCCCUUCUCCUUUUGAGUAUGCAGACGUUGUUACCACCACAACUCACAAGUCACUACGUGGGCCACGUGGAGCGAUGAUCUUCUUCAGAAAAGGAGUGAAGGAGAUAAACAAAAAAGGAGAAGAAGUUAUGUAUGACUAUGAAGAUAAAAUCAACCAAGCUGUUUUCCCUGGACUUCAAGGUGGCCCCCACAAUCACACAAUUUCUGGCUUAGCUGUCGCACUGAAACAAGUCAUGACACCAGAAUACAAGGCAUACCAAGAGCAAGUUCUUAGCAAUUGCUCUAAGUUUGCUGAGAGUUUGCUGGCAGCGGGAUAUGAUCUUGUAUCUGGUGGAACUGAGAAUCAUCUCGUGCUGGUUAACUUAAGAAAUAAGGGUAUUGAUGGAUCUAGAGUUGAGAAGGUUUUAGAGUCGGUGCAUAUUGCAGCCAAUAAGAAUACUGUGCCUGGUGAUGUAUCUGCCAUGGUACCUGGUGGCAUUCGCAUGGGCACCCCAGCUCUCACUUCUAGAGGUUUUGUUGAGGAGGAUUUUGUCAAAGUGGCUGAAUAUUUUGACGCUGCUGUGAAGUUGGCCCUUAAGGUCAAGGCUGAGACCAAAGGAACGAAGUUGAAGGACUUUGUGGCAACUUUGAGUUCAGACUCCAACAUUCAAUCUGAGGUUGCCAAGCUAAGGCAGGACGUUGAGGACUAUGCCAAACAAUUCCCUACUGUUGGUUUCGAGAAAGAAACAAUGAAAUACAAGAAUUGAGCUUGGAUCUAGUGUUGAGGCAGUGAGGCUUCCUUUUUCUUCACUCUCUGUAAUUUUGCUGUCUUUGGCUGCUCGAGUCAGAAGACAUUUUUCUCCAAUGAUGUUAGAACAUUUGUCUUUCUGAAUUCACCUGCAGUGCGCGGAAAAGAGUUACACGGAUCACAUUUCAUUACAUUUGUUUGAUUUUUCAAAUCGAAGUUACCAUCAGAUGUAAUUUUAUGCUACGUUCACAUGUGAUGUAUAACAGGAUAAGGGAUAAGAUCUUAUGCAAACAGUUCAUCAGUAAUGCCAGCACUCUCACCAAACAAGAAUCAGGAACUAUAUAUUUUAUUUUUUCAUAUA